UGGGGAAUUUGGACAAUGGGCGAAAGCCUGAUCCAGCAAUGCCGCGUGUGUGAAGAAGGCCUUCGGGUUGUAAAGCACUUUUGUCCGGAAAGAAAUCCUUGGCUCUAAUACAGUCGGGGGAUGACGGUACCGGAAGAAUAAGCACCGGCUAACUACGUGCCAGCAGCCGCGGUAAUACGUAGGGUGCAAGCGUUAAUCGGAAUUACUGGGCGUAAAGCGUGCGCAGGCGGUUUGCUAAGACCGAUGUGAAAUCCCCGGGCUCAACCUGGGAACUGCAUUGGUGACUGGCAGGCUAGAGUAUGGCAGAGGGGGGUAGAAUUCCACGUGUAGCAGUGAAAUGCGUAGAGAUGUGGAGGAAUACCGAUGGCGAAGGCAGCCCCCUGGGCCAAUACUGACGCUCAUGCACGAAAGCGUGGGGAGCAAACAGGAUUAGAUACCCUGGUAGUCCACGCCCUAAACGAUGUCAACUAGUUGUUGGGGAUUCAUUCUUAGUAACGUAGCUAACGCGUGAAGUUGACCGCCUGGGGAGUACGGUCGCAAGAUUAAAACUCAAAGGAAUUGACGGGGUCAUAGCUGUUUCCU
rnacentral:rRNA from 1 species